rnacentral:rRNA from 1 species
UAGCGAAGGGGGCUAGCGUUGUCCGGAAUUUAUUGGGCGUAAAGAGCUCGUAGGUGGCUUGUCACGUCGGGUGUGAAAGCUUGGGGCUUAACUCCAGGUCUGCAUUCGAUACGGGCUGGCUAGAGGUAGGUAGGGGGAGAACGGAAUUCCUGGUGUAGCGGUGAAAUGCGCAGAUAUCAGGAGGAACACCGGUGGCGAAGGCGGGUCUCUGGGCCGAUACUGACGCUGAGGAGCGAAAGCGUGGGGAGCGAACAGG